rnacentral:lncRNA from 1 species
UCAACAUUUAAGAACUAAGAAAAUUACAGGAAUGACAGUAGAGAAAACAAAUUACAAAUGACAGUAGAGAAAAAAAAAUUACGAAGUAAAAAUUAUAUCUAUACUACUUAUAAAUUCUUUCGCAAAGAAUAAUUUCAAAGCAUCCGCCAAUCAUUUCGUUUUUACUUUGGUCAUCUAUACUGAUUUUUCGCAACCAAUCAUUUCAAAUAAUUCGCAACAGAUUAUUACGUAUUUCGCAACCAAUAAUUUUAAAUAAUUAAUUAUUUGCCACUAUAAAAUUUGAGUUUGAACAUUUGUUUAGCAACUAACCAUUUCAAAUAAUUCGCAAAGAUUAUUGCUUAUUUCGCAACCAAUAAUUUUAAAUAAUUAAUUAUCUGCCAAUACGAAAUUUGAGUUUGACCCUUUUUUUCGCAACUAACCAUUUCAAAUAAUUCGUAACAGAUUAUUGCUUAUUUCGCAACCAAUAAUUUUAAAUAAUUAAUUAUCUGCCAAUACGAAAUUUGAGUUUGCAACAGAUUAUUUCCACCGCGAAAAAUAAUUCGCAACAGAUUAUUGCGUAUUUCGCAACCAAUAAUUUCAAAUAAUUCGUAACCAAAUAUCCAUAUUUGAGUUUGACACGUGGCAAGCAUAUAGAAAGCCACGUGUCAGCUUCUCACAUAGAGUUCAUUAAGGGUUCUUAUUUAUAUAUAGUAAUAGAUUUGUAUAGAACAUUAUCUAUAAUUUGAUACAAAAAUAUGUCUAAUAAUUCAAAGUACAAAAUAAUUAUAUGAAAUAUAGUAUUAUAAUAUAAAAAAAAUAAUUUAUGAGUUGAAUAUCUAAUUUUUUUCAGUCUCACAUGUCUUUUCUUCCGCCUUCAAUCUCUAUAUUAUUCAUUUUAUUUAUGGCAGUCAAAAUAAAAUAAAUUAUAUAGAUAAAUAUUGGAUUAAACUAUCAAUCAUAUAACUAAAAUUAAAUUUUAUAUGAAUAAAAAUUUUUAUUUAAAAAUAUUCUGUAUAUUUUUUCAAGCAUACAAUUAAUAGUAAGGUAGGCAACGGCGGGCAUAUGAUGUUACUUGGUAACUUAGAGGGCUUCCGGCUUGGCCACUUAGGGGUGAGAGACAGAAAAAGAGAAAGAGAGAAACAUAUUGAAAAUUUAGAGCUCUGUGAAAGAAAGAAAGAAAGAAAGGAAAAAUAUAUAAAUUUAGUAAAAUUUUGCUCUUUUAUUUGUCUAUUGGGUUUGUUUUUAUGG